AUCAGAAGCAGAAGCGCCCUGGUGAUUCUAUGCCACACCACCAUUCCCCAGGAAAAUGUUCUCCACUGAGACAAAAUCCUUAAAUUUUUAGAAUGGCCUUAUUAUGGAUUACAGCAAACAUCUCAGCACAUCUUUCUCAGCAAGGAUCUCAAAACAGCAUUGGGAUGGCCUUAUUAAUAGAUCCCUUACGAAAACUCAGAAAAGUUAGAGAGGCACUCAGAAUCUUCCUAAAAUAUGAAAUGUUGAAAUCUGGAUUCUUUUUUUACCAUGACUGCAAAAUGUAAGCCACUACUUGGGCUCACCUUGUUGAAUCAGAUUUCUUCUACUUUGCCAUUUUGAUGAUAUCACUCCCAGGUAUGUUUUUUUCUUUUUUUUUCCUUUUCUUUUUCCUUUCUUUUCUCUUUCUUUUUUUUUUUUUUUUUUUUUUUUGAGACAGAGUUGUGCUCCUGUUGCCCAGGCUGGAGUGCAAUGGCACGAUCUCUGUAGGCUCACUGCAACCUCCACCUCCCCAGUUCAAGCAAUUCUCCUGCCUCAGCCUCCCGAGUAGCUGAGAUCACAGGAGCCUGCCACGACGCCCAGAUAAAUUUUUGUAUUUUUUUAGUAGAGAUGGGGUUUCACCAUGUUGGCCAGGCUGGUCUUGAACUCCUGACCUCCAGUCAUCUGCCCACCUAUGCCUACCAAAGUGCUCACUCCCAGGAUUUUGCACCAUCAGAUACAUUUUGAUAUUAGAAGAUAAAGAGAUUGGCCCGA
rnacentral:lncRNA from 10 species